rnacentral:sRNA from 1 species
CGGCGCCCAGAUCGUAAUUCGGAAAACGUGCACCCUGACUAAUUCGGUUUUCUGUGGCUACAAGAGCAGGCUUGGCGGGCGGAGGCGCCAGCGGAUGUCUCAUGCAAGGAUCGUCUCUGUGGCUAAGCCUCACUUUCCGCUCCGCCCGGGUGCUCUGUAGAGCCCGGUUUUUCGAGUGGCAGUCCCCAGGGCUGCCGAAUCCAGCAGCGAUGGAAAACGGCACCGGGCCCUACGGAGAAGAACGCCCACGUGAAGUCCAGGAGACGACAGUCACCGAGGGGGCUGCCAAAAUCGCCUUUCCCAGCGCCAACGAGGUCUUUUAUAACCCGGUGCAGGAAUUCAAUCGGGACCUGACGUGAGCAGGGGUCAGACGUUAGCCUGGCAUCGGCUGGUGGGUCAAUGUGGAUGGCGGGGGCGGGGUAUGAGCUAGUCCUCUGUCUCCCACCAGAUGUGCUGUGAUCACCGAGUUUGCUCGCAUUCAGCUUGGGGCCAAAGGAAUCCAGAGUGAGUGGAGGUCCAGGCUUCUGGUGGGCGGGGGUCACACAAGUCUAUCUCCCUUGGCUCUUCUGCCGCCCAAAUUCAGAGAGGCUUCAGCCACAUAGCAGGCCCUGCGUUCUGCUCCUUCAGCCUUUCCCCAGGGACUUCAGGGACGAUAUUUUGGAGAUUAAGGGGAGGUUUCUCAGAGGGGACUUUGUUAUUCACUGACUUGUGCCUCUGGGUGGCUGCAGUCAAGGUGCCAGGAGAGAAGGACACUCAAAAAGUGGUCGUGGACUUGUCAGAGCAAGAGGAGGAAAA